rnacentral:rRNA from 1 species
UUUCGCCUACGGGGGCAGCAGUGGGGGAUAUUGGACAAUGGGGGGAACCCUGAUCCAGCGACGCCGCGUGAGUGAAGAAGUAUUUCGGUAUGUAAAGCUCUGUCAGCAGGGAAGAAAGCAAUGACGGUACCUGACCAAGAAGCCCCGGCUAACUACGUGCCAGCAGCCGCGGUAAUACGUAGGGGGCAAGCGUUAUCCGGAUUUAUUGGGCGUAAAGCGAGUGCAGGCGG